GCCCGAGUGGCGGAAUUGGUAGACGCGCUGGAUUCAAAAUCCAGUGAUAGCAAUAUCGUGCCGGUUCGACCCCGGCCUCGGGUACAA
rnacentral:tRNA from 1 species